UUCCUAAAGAACUAAUUUUAGGUAAAACCUGCUCAAUGUAAUAUUAAUAGCCGCAGGAAAUUUACUGUGCUAAGGUAGCAUAAUCAUUAGCCUUUUAAUUAAAGACUAGAAUGAAAGGUUUAACACUUCAAAUAUUUUUCUCAAUCUUAAUUUGAAAUUUUAUUAAUUAUAAAAAUAUAAUUAUAAAAAAAUUAGACGACAAGACCCUAUUAAACUUUACUCAAGUUAAGCUGGGGAAGCUACUCAAUAAUUACUUUGAAAAUAGAACUUACAUAAAAUUCCAAUAAAAUUGAAUUUAACAAGUUACUAUAGGGAUAACAGCGUUAUCUUGUUUUUUAGUUCUUAUUUAAAAUAAGUAUUGCGACCUCGAUGUUGAAUAAUUUUACUUUUAUGAGCAAAAUCUUAAUAAGUAAGACUGUUCGUCUUUUAAAAAAUUACA
rnacentral:rRNA from 1 species